UACGUAGGGUGCGAGCGUUGUCCGGAAUUACUGGGCGUAAAGAGCUCGUAGGUGGUUUGUCGCGUUGUCCGUGAAAACUCACAACUCAAUUGUGGGCGUGCGGGCGAUACGGGGCAGACUGGAGUACUGCAGGGGAGACUGGAAUUCCUGGUGGUAGCGGUGGAAUGCGCAGAUAUCAGGAGGAACACCGGUGGCGAAGGCGGGGUCUCUGGGCAGUAACUGACGUGGAGGAGCGAAAAGCGUGGGGAGCGAACAGG
rnacentral:rRNA from 1 species